UACGGGGGGGGCAAGCGUUGUUCGGAAUUACUGGGCGUAAAGCGCACGUAGGCGGCUUUCUAAGUCGGGGGUGAAAUCCUGGAGCUCAACUCCAGAACUGCCUUCGAUACUGGAGAGCUCGAGCCCGGGAGAGGUGAGUGGAACUGCGAGUGUAGAGGUGAAAUUCGUAGAUAUUCGCAAGAACACCAGUGGCGAAGGCGGCUCACUGGCCCGGCACUGACGCUGAGGUGCGAAAGCGUGGGGAGCAAACAGG
rnacentral:rRNA from 1 species